GAUGAACGCUGGCGGCGUGCCUAAUACAUGCAAGUCGAGCGAACGGACGAGAAGCUUGCUUCUCUGAUGUUAGCGGCGGACGGGUGAGUAACACGUGGAUAACCUACCUAUAAGACUGGGAUAACUUCGGGAAACCGGAGCUAAUACCGGAUAAUAUUUUGAACCGCAUGGUUCAAAAGUGAAAGACGGUCUUGCUGUCACUUAUAGAUGGAUCCGCGCUGCAUUAGCUAGUUGGUAAGGUAACGGCUUACCAAGGCAACGAUGCAUAGCCGACCUGAGAGGGUGAUCGGCCACACUGGAACUGAGACACGGUCCAGACUCCUACGGGAGGCAGCAGUAGGGAAUCUUGCACAAUGGGCGAAAGCCUGACGGAGCAACGCCGCGUGAGUGACGAAGGUCUUCGGAUCGUAAAACUCUGUUAUUAGGGAAGAACAUAUGUGUAAGUAACUGUGCACAUCUUGACGGUACCUAAUCAGAAAGCCACGGCUAACUACGUG
rnacentral:rRNA from 1 species